AGUGGGAUAACUGGGUCAAAUUGUGGUCCUAUUCCAAAUUUUCUGAGGAAUCUCCACACUGCUUUCUAGAGUGGUUGCAUCAAUUUGCAGCCCUACCAGCUAU
rnacentral:pre_miRNA from 1 species